rnacentral:rRNA from 1 species
UGCGAAAGCAGGUCAUAGUGAUCCGGUGGUUCUGAAUGGAAGGGCCAUCGCUCAACGGAUAAAAGGUACUCCGGGGAUAACAGGCUGAUACCGCCCAAGAGUUCAUAUCGACGGCGGUGUUUGGCACCUCGAUGUCGGCUCAUCACAUCCUGGGGCUGAAGUAGGUCCCAAGGGUAUGGCUGUUCGCCAUUUAAAGUGGUACGCGAGCUGGGUUUAGAACGUCGUGAGACAGUUCGGUCCCUAUCUGCCGUGGGCGCUGGAGAACUGAGGGGGGCUGCUCCUAGUACGAGAGGACCGGAGUGGACGCAUCACUGGUGUUCGGGUUGUCAUGCCAAUGGCACUGCCCGGUAGCUAAAUGCGGAAGAGAUAAGUGCUGAAAGCAUCUAAGCACGAAACUUGCCCCGAGAUGAGUUCUCCCUGACUCCUUGAGAGUCCUGAAGGAACGUUGAAGACGACGACGUUGAUAGGCCGGGUGUGUAAGCGCAGCGAUGCGUUGAGCUAACCGGUACUAAUGAACCGUGAGG